GCUCAGAGCCGGAAAGUUGGUCAAACUUGGUCAUUUAGAGGAAGUAAAAGUCGUAACAAGGUUUCCGCAUCAAGUCAUGCCGGCUGGAACACCCUUCCUUCCGCAGUGUACACUUAUCGAAGCCUUUGCAGCCACGCAAGUGGUAGGCCCGGACGACUCUAAACACGCCGGUGCCGGAUGCAAGUCGCGCCCCCCGCUCCGGGGGGCUGUCGGCGACACUUUUGAACUGCCGGGGACACCCUAAAGCCAAUCGCACCAACCGACGCGGGAAACCGCGCCGGGGCCCAUGGACGCACCAUGGGGGACGGUAACAGCCGAUUCGGAUAGUUCUGCCGCGGCAGAGACCAUGGGCAAUCCGCAGCGAAGCCCCUACGUCCUCCGGGAUACGGGGAACGUCCACAGACUAAGUGGAAGUGGGUGGGACGCCGGUCCUGCUUAAGAUAUAGUCGGGCCCCCCGGGAGAACCGGGGGGGCAAGUACACUACCCGUUCCGUAGGUGAACCUGCGGAAGGAUCAUUA
rnacentral:ncRNA from 1 species